GCAUAGGGAUUUCCAGAAAGACCUAAGGCUUUUGUCUUUUUCACACUUUGCAGAAAUCUGAUGUGUAUUUGAUCUACCUAGUUCACACACUUCAUGGCCUAACCUUGGUUACACAAGGUAACAGCACCAGAAGGUGGGUCAAUCACUUCUCAUCAUCACUUCUGCUACAAAUAAGGCAAAAAACUUUGACGAAAUGCCAAUGAUCCACGGAGAUUUUGGGAUGAGAACAGGUAAACCUCAGGGAGAGGCACCAGCCCUGAACAGAGGACCACAAAAAUACAAGGGUCAGAAAGAACUGGUGAGGGUGAGGAAACAUGGGACACUAUGUAUCCUGGGACCAAAAGGUUUUGAGAGUUUGUAGCGUGGAAGAGUCAACUCUCAAGUGAUGGGCAGUCCCAGUAGGUGACUUUGAGCUUUAGGCAUCUUCUUUAUCAGUUGUGGUGAAGUUUGAAGGACAGGGAAGGAAGGAGGAGCAUGUAAGACUAAAGGUGGAAAAUUGAGAUGAAUGGUAUGGAGGGGCAUACAUCCAGCAUGAAGAGGGUGAAGAGUAUCUGGAAGGCAAAUAAAUAAGAAAUCAGAAAGAAUAAGUCUUGAGAGAGCACAAGGCUUAGGGGAAGCACAAGGGCUGUUGAAGGAUGCAACCCAGGGCAGUUUGCAGGGCUCUAAGUGCAUGAAAACAUACUUGGCUCCAGAAAUUUCUAAUCUGGAGAUGGCUGGCAGCUGGGAGAGCACUCAGGGGAAAUAUUGUAUGUGCUUACCCUGUGCUCAUACUUUUCCCCAGGCAUUUUGCUUUUGCCCACUGUUGGAGACAGGCACUAGAUGGACCUUUGGCCUGGCCCAGUGCGGCUUCUUUCACUCUUGUGUUGUGAAAGAGUUGGAGUCCUUGUGGUAAGUCUUGCGUUCUUUAGCACAAGCUGCAGGACAAACCGCGCGUAUCAUGGCGCCGCUGCUGACUCAGGCACAGACGGGAUCUUGCUGACAUUCCUCAUUGCCUUGCGCACAACAUGCUGAACAUAUUGUGAAGGGAAGACUCUGUGUUUCCCAAAAUAAGCUGGGCUCUUCAUCAAGAUGACUCUGACAUAGACAUGACCUUAAAGUUUUCCUUUGCAUGCUGGAGAUGCCACCUUCAACACUGAGAGGUGCAGUGCAGUAGAACUACAACUUUUAAUGGACAUUCCCAGGCGACAUGCCAGUGCUCUGCAAACAGAGAAAUUUAUGGUCUGAAAGACAGGUGCAGACAGCCCUGAACUUGCUUUGCCCACGCUCUGCGAUGUUUGGAUGCGUGCCGGCUCUACAGCCGUGUUACACAGCACAGCGCCGCAGCCUCGCCAUGUACUCUCAGUCGGACCAGGCGACUGGAGAACAGCGUUCUUCAGAAAGCUCCCUGGGUGUCACGGUGAAGAGCGUGACUGCUCUGUGGUCUUGUGGUAACCUCUUCACCUGGCUGUUUGUCCUGCUGUCUCUCUGGCUGUAUGUUGUUAACUUGAAGAUCAUCAGAGGUAGUUGCAUGGUGGCUCAAACUUCACCAUCCUCAAGCUGAGUCAGUGGAAGUAAAUGACACUUUUUCCAGUGUUCUCAACAGAAAUGCUGCUUGCCUUUACCACAGCUGGCUGUGUCCUUAAACUGCAAACCAAAACAUUUCCAGAGUCUGAUGUCCAUCUCCAAGGUCUGUAGAGCCACAGCUGCAAUGGCUGGGGCUGUUGCUUGGUGGUACCAAGCUGAUGAAAUGCUGCUCAUCGUUAUCCCACUGUACAGAUGCACCAGCAGUCGGCUGUGAACAUGGGUGACUGUCUCUGUGGGCCCGAGGAGAAACAUGAGUGAGUUUCGUGCAGGUGCACGCAUCGGCAACAGCCACGCAUCAGAGGUCUGCUGCCUCCUUCAUGGCAGGGCAUGGGGUGCCCACUAAAUUCAGGGGACUCUUACAGUCCCAGCUGAGAUGAGGCUUUAAAGUGGAAGAUGUAUUUUAAAAAUACAGCUUUCAAAUUACUGGUUAUCUCAAACUUACUGCCUGCUACAGACAGCCCUAAAGGAUAGGUAGAGCCUCUUCUGUUGCUAACCUCUCCAAGUACCCAGAACAUUAACCGGGCAGGAGCAGGCCUGGGUCACACACGGCACUGCCACUGUCGCAGCAUCCAAAGCUCUCCCAGAUGGUGGAACAGGGCUCCUCUGCCCGAGCUUGUGCUGUGGAGCUGGGUGAGUCCAAAUGCCAUUUCAAGGGACAUUUUUAUUUAUAAGGAACCUGCUGUGACAGCGGCUGUUACUUACAAAGCAAGCUUUUUCUGUUAUGGAUUUUUUUUUUUUCCUUUCUUUGUAGUUUAGUUAAAGUAAUUGUGAAUGGAACUGUACAGCUGACUUCUGUAUAAGAAAAAACACACACUGCUGCAAGCAGGAGGCUGCCCUGCCAGCGCUGCUGCCCAGUGCAGCCCGGGCUGGAUCAGCCGCAGACUGACACGUCCCCAUCCCCAGCCUCGCAGCGGCAGAGUUGUCUGGGGUGCUUUGUGCCAGCUCCAGCUCCCUCCAGCCGCUGCCAAAACCCUCAUGGGCCCAGUGUUGUCCCAGGAUCAUGGCGAGAGCCCUCGGGGAGGUGGUCUCUCGGCUCCCGGUGAGUGUCCCUGCUGGGGGAAGCAUCACCUGGCCACCCGCCUUGGCCGCUGGGUGAAUCCUGGCAGAGGUGACUCACAGGCAGGGAACCCUGCGAGGGCCCUGGCACAUGCCUGCACUGAAACGCUGCCUACAGCCUCCUGCCUCUGCCCAGCUCGCCUUUCCUGCCGCCUUUCCCCCGGGGUCCUAACUCCCGACUUUGUUGCUCUAUAAACAUAAUAACAAUAAUUAUUCUCUCAUUGGACACAUAGCCAUCUUCUUUGUUUGCAGGCUUAGAUAAAUAUCAUUCAAAUCAUGGAGUCUGAUUCAUGAGUCAGGACGAUGGCAGCCCUCCAAAACCUCCUUGCUCACGGAGAGUGUGUUUGUGUGAGAGAGAGUUUCACUGUGUGAAGAGUAAGAAACUGGAAGCCAAGUGAAUUAAAUACAAAGCAGAUAAUUAUGUGUAAUUCAUUUACUGACUAAUGAUUGCACCUGGUACAGAGGUUUAUGAAUUCAUUUAACUCUGCAUAGGUUCUCAAAAACAGUCUCCCUCAUACGAGAUAAAAGCUAAGCUUCCAUUUCUUAACAGACCAGUGUUUACAUUAGUGUUAUUGUACUAUUCUGCCUUUUUCAUUCAUUCCUUAUUUUAACUCAUGACAUUUCACUUUUCCUGUGUUCAUCUGGUUUCUCUUUGACAGUGACAAUUGCUCAGUGCUGGUUGAGGCCAGGUGUCACUGCAGAAUGAGGGCAUCACUCCGCUCCUGAAAGCCGUGGUACUUGUCUCCCAUCUGCUGCAGCCAGAUCGUGCCACAGGACUGUGCCUCUGAUGGGGCAGUAGCAGGUCACGGCCCCCCUUCCCCUCCGCUGGGAUCACCAACAGACUGGCUUUCUUUUCAUGGCGACAUCCAGUUGUCAUUGCAGCCUGAUGCCAUCAACCCCUUCCAGCUGAACACCAGCACAUAGUACCAAUCUCCAUCUGCCUACACCUGAGUUGAUUUCAGGUUGAAGACCCAAGAACAAAGCCUUUAAUGGGGUGAAAAAGCUGUGUUCAGCCAGUGAAACCCAGCAGCCAUGUCUCCAUGUUGAUGUCACCUGCAGACCGCAGCGUGUGUGACACCGCUCAGGCCUGGCAGGCUCAGCCCCGCUGACCUGGGUGAGCAGUGGCUCCGGGCACUGUGUCUGUGAUGCUAGAUCUCCGAGCCAUGCUGGGCAAGGCAACGUGCCCCCGAAGCCACGCUCAGUGCCUGCAGCAGUGGAGAUGCUCCCUGAGGUGAUGCUUAAGAGUGGAAACAAGAACUUUUCCAGUUAUGUUCCCCAUGCAAUCACCAGGCAUAAGCUGGAGCCCCUCUCCCAACCUGUUAACGUGAUAGAGGCAGCUCGCCUUCGUCAUCCCACUCACCCCCCAAACAAAACAAUGCCCUCAGUUAAUUGUUCAGAACCUCUAUGAUGGCAGGUGGUCAAAUCAGCAGACAAUUGGCCCUGUUGCCUGCUGAGACUGUCUGGAUCAACACAUAACUGGGAUCCAUUUUUUCAUUAGUUUUAGCACAGGGUGUGUGAGAGGUAAAUGUGCAAUGUUUGUUUGGGGGAGAGGGUUACAUCUGCAGGUGCUGGAUGAAUGCAGAUUCCUGCAAUGUCCUUUGAAGACUGGCUUUGGGAAGGAAACGAAACAGGAAUGACAUAUAAGGGAAAGGGAAGUUAUCUGGCAGUUUGAAUAGAGACUAUAUAAUAAAUCAUGAGAUGAUCACACUGAAGGAAGAAAACCCAGUAACGUACACUUUCUAGCAUUAUUUGCCAUUGUUUACCAUGGUGAAUCUGAUCUCGUGGCUGCCAAUAAAAUAGCUGUGGUGUCUGAUGUAACUCCCCUUGCUGCAAGAACACACACUCAGAGGUGUCUCCUUGGAGCUGUCACCAGCCCCAGUGUGUGGUGGCAGGAGAGUGACCUGAACUCACUGCACACCUCUACACGGUGCUGAGGCUCUGUGCCAGCUCUCUGGGGGACGCUGGCCCCAGUUGUCCAUGGGGUGCUGGACCUGCGCCUCGCAGCCCUCUUGGGAGAGCAGCAGAGGCACUGUUUUCUCCAUCUGCAGCAGCCAGGUAAUGAAAAACAUCAGCAAAACCCAAAAAAAGUAACCCGAUGCUCUGCUAUUUUUGAGCAAUUUGUAAUUAGAAAAGCCAAAACCAGCUCAUCUUGUUCACAUGAGUAUUCCCAUUGACUAAAAUGCAGUCAGCAUGUGCUUUAAUUUUAAGCCUAUGCAAUCCUUCUCCGAUGAAGAUCUGGCAAGCCAGAACAGAUUGCAGGCUGUGAGAUACGUGCAGUACGAUAGUGUUUUACCUGUAGGUGGAUUCUCAUUGUAGAUAGUGAGAUGCAGAGCCAAUGAGCCUGAUUCACUGCUGGGUUACUCCAGUUUGUCAGCGGAGUAACACCACUGAAUCAUCAGCGAAGCUGAAAUCACGAAUGAUAAAAUGGGAGCAUUGUGUCUAAGUGCAGCAUGUGUACGGAACUGGCUCCUUCUUGCAGAACCAUUAACCUAUAUGGAUUUUUUACAGUUCAAAAUUUAUCAAGAAUAUGACAAAGUUUCCAUGCUAAAGUUUUACAUGUCAAAAACCCAAUUAAAAUCUAAUGUAACAGCUAGCAUAGGACUCCCAUGAUAUGUCAUUGUGGUGAUUAUUUUUUUAAUUCAGAAAAAAAGAGAAUUUUUGAGAAAUGAGGUUAAACGCCUUCUGAAAAGAUGCAAUUUUUUUUGAUGCAGUUAAUUUCUAUGCACCAGAUGGGCACCAUGUAAAGUGUAGAAACAGGCUAGUUGAAAACCUACUCCUGGUUUCUUUUCAAUUUAAGAAAAUACGCACCGAGCAAUUGGAAAGAACUCAGUAAUUGUGAUCUUUUUGCAAGUAAUGAAUGCCCUGGAAAAGCCAACUAAAAGCAGCAAGCAAGCUUGCAAUUAGUAGUUCUAAUUAUAAAGUAUACACAUAAAACAAUGUAGCAUCAUAAGUAAAGGCCAAAUUCAAAUGAUGCAAUAGAACAGUAGAACAUCAUAUAAAGAUGGACAAACAAUCCAGCAAGACAACUACUUCUAAAUUAUCCAUAUUUUUUCAAUAAUAGCAGCAACAACAACAACAACAAAAUAAAAUUAUAGCAGUGCUUUGUUUUUUGUGACUUUUACAGUAACCCUGUCUCAGUGCCACGUGAUGCUCGUGUCUCUGUUGUAGACCAGAGUCCCUUGGAUGAUGUUCACAGACACGGUGUCAGACUCCGUGUCACAAGCACACGCUGGUGUGGGAGCCUGUGGCUCAAACAGCGAGCGCAGAUACCUGUGUCGUUAUCAGGGGAUUCCUCAUGACUCGCUUCCAUCACUGAAAGCAGCUAUCAAAUGUCACAGCCUUUUUUGUUUUUAUUUUCUGAGCUUUAGCCUGUACACUUCCUAGGUAAACCAGGUUUAUGUCAAAUGCAGGCUGUGGAGCUUGAACAAGGACUAACUUAGUCCAAUGCAGGGGACUGUGCUCAAUAGGCUGUGGUAUGUUUAGGUAUCCACACGCCCUAAGCUCCACGGAAUGAUGACAACACUUCAUGUACUAGAGUUGAAAUGUGACACUCCAACAUUACAGAGCAGCAUCACUGCAGCUCUCCCCUGCAUGAUGCGUGUGCAAUGGCACAACAGGAAUUCAGGCUGCACCCUUACAGGACUUCUCCCAAAAUAAAGUCCUGGAUGCAACUAGAGAAGGUGAAGAGAUGUAAUACCUUAGGGAAAUGUUUUUAUUUAUUCUCCUUGGGUGCAUACAUGGCAAUCACCCAUGCAGCAUGAUCCAGGAUGUUGAAAACCAUUUCAUUAUGUUCUAUAAAUAAAAGACUGAUGUGGUUCAAUUGUAUCAAUUAUGCAACUCUUCUAAGUGGUGUAGUCAAGGGUAAACGCAGGCAAAGGGCACUCCCUUUGUACCCACUUCUUCUCUGGGCACUUCUAGUAUUUACCUGCUCCUUAUACACCACAGACAGAUGAAUCUACCCACUUUUAUUUACCACUUUACCACUGACUCCUCUUUGGCCAAGAGCUUUUCCUAUGCAUAGAUGACACAACAAAAUAGAAAAUGGAAGUCAAGACUGUUGUGUUUUAGUCUGUUGUGCAAGAUGUAAGUGUGGCUGUACAGUAAUUUCGAGCAAAGCAUUGGUUUUAAACAAUGUUUAAACUGACACCAUUAUUAUGCAAUAUAAUUAAUUAUGGCUAGAAGGGCAUUUAAGGUUAGUUGGCGCUACCUUUGUCCAUUUUAUAAUUACACCAAGAAGAGGAUGACUAAGUUGUGCCUAAGCUAAUUGCAUCCAUUUGGUUUUAUCCCUCCUCUUCACCAUCCUAAGUCACUUGCAUUCUGAACUGUAUAUAUAUAUUUUUUUUGAGGGUUUUGGGCGCAUUUGUGCUGAAUACAAUGGAGCUCAGUGCUGACUGGGCAGCCCCUGGUAAUACUGCAAUAGAAGCACUAAAAAAUAAUAAUUAAAGCUAGUCAAAGUGAUAAGUACAAAACGAAUGACACUUUUUUCCUCCCACUGUAACUGUUACCUGCAACAUAUCUGCUUCUGCUCUGUGCAUUAUAAGAUGGGUCAUGCAGCUAAGAAUAUAAAGCUUUGCAGCAUGACGUGACAUCCUCCAGACAUGCCGUGAACCCAGGAGGCACCUCCAGAAAGCAGCUGAGGGCCAGCAACAAACCAACCCAGCAGCACACACUGUGCCAGCCCUCUUGCCGAAUGUGCUGGGGAUUCAGUGUUCAAGGGAUGCACAACACAGCCCAGCUGCCCAGGCUGACAGAGCCCUCAGCCCACCCCGACUCUGUGGUUCUGCCCCAAAGCUGGUCCUCUAGUUUGGUGCCAGUGUCAGAGCCAUGGUGUGGACAACAGGUUCCCCGGCUCCGGAGCCAGGCUGGCUGCCACGGCCACCCAGCCGCGGGCACAGAGAGCUGUGCUGGAGCGGAGUAGCUGCCCGGACCUGAGCUGGCAGGCCUGAGUGCAUCAGACAAGCUGCCCAGAGGUAGCGGUGUGUAAAGUGUCUCUUUUGAAUGUUACCUGGCAGUGUCAGGAUAAAAAACAAACAAACAACCAAACAAACAACAUGAAAAGAAAAAAAAAAAACCAAACCCAUUAACAAUAUAUUUACUCUGGAAAGGAAUUGGUAACGCAUGGUCUUGUUUGGCUACGGCAGAAGGCCAUAGUCUUCAGUUGAUGGCUGGAAACUGGAUUGCACUUAUGUAUAAAUAGAACUGCCUGCAAGGGUUGAAUGCCAUAAUUAACAGGCAGUUUUAGAAAUUAUUGGCUAAUGCCAUUUAAUAGAAAUACUGCCAACUAUUGUUGUUAAAACCGGGUUUGUUCCUUCGGUGGUAAUAUAAAAUGACUCAACACGGCUUCACUGGAAAGAGACACCUUUGCCUGUUACACACCAUUACCUACAUUUUUAGAGUAAUUGAAUAUGACAACAAAAAUUUUGAAAUCUAAAUAUAUUUCCUAAAACUAACUGGAGGGCCACCUGCCUCCUAAGCAAUCACAGUACUGGUGAUACAACCUGGAUUACUUAUCGGAACAUAGCAUUGCUGACCCAGUCCCAUGCCCACAGCAGCCAAGGUAGCUUUCAGCACUGAUGGUGUUUAAGCAGUAAUAAAUGUAAAGUUUUCUGUAACCAGCAAAUAUGUUCAGGUAAGCCUGAGCGGCUCCAUCUGGAGCAUUUUCCCUGCAGUGUGUGCAGUAUCACUCAGAGAAUUAAUGCACAUUUUUGUUAACAAACUCUCUGAACCAUACCAGAGAAUAGAGGUAGCUGUGAGAUAAUGUGUUCUGAUCAUGUGAUGCAGCUGUUAUAUCACCUAAGAACAUUUUCACACUGCUGCAAUACUGACUGAAAGGUUAUUUCUCCAACCUUGUCACCCAGAAGGUACCAGCUGAAAAGUUUCUGUUUGAUUGCUAAAGAGUAAAAAAGCAACAAAUGAAUAUUGGCAAAUCUUGGAUGAGGCAUGACAUGGAUGUUGCACACCGCAGUCUAACGCCCACCUUCACUUCAGGGAAAGGAGAAACCAGAUCUGCAGACACACUAAUCGCCUCCUGGUUUGAGAGUUACCACUCACCUGUUUGGAAAUGAACUCCAGAACCUCACUGCUUUCUAUUUCCUGCACCGAGAGCCAGUAACCGCUUAGUGCUUCUAAAGAGUCAUUAAUUGUACUCUUAUUACAGCAUUUUAUAAUGCCUUUUAAUGUAUAGAUUUAAAAGACAAAUCAGUCUGUGCAGAGAUUGACCUUGCUGAUACAAGAAGGGGAGAUAAAGUCCCCUCUGUUCAACUGGGAGAAGCACAAAGGUGAGUCACCGCUUAUGUCUGAGGGCUCAACAGCGUGGGUGUCUGACCCGCCAAAGCAGGGUCACCUCCCUGCGCAAGGCUCAGGCAGUCAGACCGUGUCCGAGACAAAACCAGAACUCCCAAAGCCUAGUUUCUGGCUGCACCCACUGGCGAGCCUAAGCACAGAGGCUCUGUGCAUCCUUUCAAGGGCAAGACGCAAUGCCCCUCCGUUGUUGCCAACGGCAGGGAAUUCAGAGCACGUGGGCAUUGACACUCAGAGAUGCUGGUGGUCGACACCCUCGAGAUAUGCCUGAAGUGAGCAAGACAGGGAUGUUAACAGCACCAAAGGGAAUUGGGUACCCCCAUCCCUCUGUUUUUAAGCAGCACUCAACAUGACAAACUCUUAGAGAACCCUGUGAAACCCAGCCCACCAUCCCACACAAGUUGCAGCCCCCCAAAGCUGAAAUGACAGUUAACACCUAUGUGACCUACACUGCACUUGGAGCAGCUGUUGUCGAGGAAUCCUGGUCAGCAGAGCACAGCAACUUACCUGAAUCCCUUUUUCAGACCCACAUGCCAGCCUGAGCACGGUCUCAGAAGAGGAAGGCCAGCCCCACAACGCCCAUGGAUCUGGAGGCUGAGCAGUUCUAGUGCCGGGGUCAGGAAUGAACCUGCUGCUGCUGUAAACAUUCUGGUGUAUGGCAUGGCUGUUGCUGCCCUUAUCCACCAGCCUCCUCGUCAGCAAUCUCCCCGUUUGUUGAUGUCGUGUGCCUGUAUUGGAUGACACUGGUACUACAGUGCUUGUAAAGGUGGUGAAGCUGGUAUAUUAACAAAGAAUAUUGAGUGAAUUGAUUUCCCCUUUCUGCAUUGCUGUCUCUGCAUUGAUCUAGGCAUUAAAAAAGAGUUAUUAUGUA